AAUCAACGCUGGCGGCGUGCCUCAGACAUGCAAGUCGAACGAGAAAGUCCCCUUCGGGGAUAAGUAAAGUGGCGCACGGGUGAGUAACACGUAGGUAAUCUACCUUCGGGUGGGGAAUAACCCAGGGAAACUUGGGCUAACACCGCAUAAUGCAGCGGCACCACAUGGUGACAGUUGUUAAAGCGGGGGAUUUUCGAACCUCGCGCCUGAAGAGGAGCCUGCGGCGGAUUAGCUAGUGGUGAGGUAACGGCUCACCAAGGUCACGAUCCGUAGCCGGCCUGAGAGGGCGACCGGCCACACUGGGACUGAGACACGGCCCAGACUCCUACGGGAGGCAGCAGUGGGGAAUCUUGCGCAAUGGGCGAAAGCCUGACGCAGCGACGCCGCGUGA
rnacentral:rRNA from 1 species